rnacentral:rRNA from 1 species
UCCGGUUGAUCCCGCCGGACCUGACUGCUAUCGGAUUGAUACUAAGCCAUGCUAGUCUUUGUAGUAAUACAAGGCAUACGGCUCAGUAACGCGUAGUCAACCUACCCUAUGGACGGGGAUAAUCUCGGGAAACUGAGCAUAAUACCCGACAGACCACUUCUCCUGGAAUGGUUAGUGGUUAAAAUGAUUCGUCGCCAUAGGAUGGGACUGCGGCCUAUCAGCUUGUUGGUGAGGUAAUGGCCCACCAAGGCGAUUACAGGUACGGGCUCUGAGAGGAGAGGCCCGGAGAUGGGUACUGAGACAAGGACCCAGGCCCUAUGGGGCGCAGCAGGCGAGAAAACUUUGCAAUGUGCGAAAGCACGACAAGGUUAAUCCGAGUGAUUUCUGCUAAAGGAAUCUUUUGUUAGUUCUAAAAAUACUAGUGAAUAAGGGGUGGGCAAGUUCUGGUGUCAGCCGCCGCGGUAAAACCAGCACCUCAAGUGGUCAGGAGGAUUAUUGGGCCUAAAGCAUCCGUAGCCUGUUCUAUAAGUUUGCGGUUAAAUCUAUACGCUCAACGUAUAGGCUGCCGUAAAUACUGUAGAACUAGGGAGUGGGAGAGGUAGACGGUACUCGAUAGGAAGGGGUAAAAUCCUUUGAUCUAUUGAUGACCACCUGUGGCGAAGGCGGUCUACCAGAACACGUUCGACGGUGAGGGAUGAAAGCUGGGGGAGCAAACCGGAUUAGAUACCCGGGUAGUCCCAGCUGUAAACGAUGCAGACUCGAUGAUGCAAUGGCAUAGAGCUAUUGCAGUAUCGCAGGGAAGCCGUUAAGUCUGCCGCCUGGGAAGUACGUACGCAAGUAUGAAACUUAAAGGAAUUGGCGGGGGAGCACCACAAGGGGUGAAGCCUGCGGUUCAAUUGGAUUCAACGCCGGA